rnacentral:rRNA from 1 species
UGGGGAAUAUUGCACAAUGGAGGGAACUCUGAUGCAGCGACGCCGCGUGAGUGAUGAAGGAAUUCGUUUCGUAAAACUCUGUUCUAUGGGAAGAAAAGGACUGUACCAUAGGAGAAAGCUCCGGCUAAAUACGUGCCAGCAGCCGCGGUAAUACGUAUGGAGCGAGCGUUGUCCGGAAUUAUUGGGCGUACAGGGUGCGCAGGCGGCUUUACAAGUUGGAUGUGAAAUAUUGUGGCUCAACCACAAACGUGCAUCCAAAACUGCAAAGCUUGAGUUAAGGAGAGGUAAGUAGAAUUCCUGGUGUAGCGGUGGAAUGCGUAGAUAUCAGGAGGAAUACCGGUGGCGAAGGCGACUUACUGGACUUAAACUGACGCUCAGGCACGAAAGCGUGGGGAGCAAACAGG